rnacentral:rRNA from 1 species
GGAGGGUCCAAGAGUUAUCCGGAAUCAUUGGGUUUAAAGGGUCCGUAGGCGGCUAUUAAGUCAGAGGUGAAAGUUUGCAGCUCAACUGUAAAAUUGCCUUUGAAACUGGUAGUCUUGAAUUAUUAUGGAAGUGUUAGAAUAAGUAGUGUAGCGGUGAAAUGCAUAGAUAUUACUUAGAAUACCAAUUGCGAAGGCAGAUCACUAAG